GAGAGCCGUAACACAGUGCUGCAUGGCUGUCGUCAGCUCGUGUCGUGAGAUGUUGGGUUAAGUCCCGCAACGAGCGCAACCCUUGUCCAUUAGUUGCUACAUUCAGUUGGGCACUCUAAUGAGACUGCCGGUGACAAGCCGGAGGAAGGUGGGGAUGACGUCAAGUCCUCAUGGCCCUUAUGGGUAGGGCUUCACACGUCAUACAAUGGUCGGUACAGAGGGUUGCCAAGCCGCGAGGUGGAGCCAAUCCCAGAAAGCCGAUCGUAGUCCGGAUUGUUCUCUGCAACUCGAGAGCAUGGAGUCGGAAUCGCUAGUAAUCGCGGAUCAGCAUGUCGCGGUGAAUACGUUCCCGGGUCUU
rnacentral:rRNA from 1 species